UUAAAUCUUUAUUUUACGUUAGCGGUCAUCCCAAAAUUUUUUAUCUGGCUCCGCCACUGGGAAAAAGACAAAAAGAGAGGAAAAAUCUCCAAUCCAUUAACUCUCUCUCCAAUACUGAUUUCCACUAUCUCUCUCUUCAAAAGAAUAAAAAAUGAAUAAAAAGGGGAACCUAACUCAUUCAAAAAAGGAGAAGGAAAUUAGAAAGAAGGACGUUACCUCUCUUUUCUCUCUAGCCCAC
rnacentral:lncRNA from 1 species